GUGGGGCGGCAGGACUACACAUGCAGUCGAGCGGUAGCACAGAGAGCUUGCUCUCGGGUGACGAGCGGCGGACGGGUGAGUAAUGUCUGGGAAACUGCCUGAUGGAGGGGGAUAACUACUGGAAACGGUAGCUAAUACCGCAUAACGUCGCAAGACCAAAGUGGGGGACCUUCGGGCCUCAUGCCAUCAGAUGUGCCCAGAUGGGAUUAGCUGGUAGGUGGGGUAACGGCUCACCUAGGCGACGAUCCCUAGCUGGUCUGAGAGGAUGACCAGCCACACUGGAACUGAGACACGGUCCAGACUCCUACGGGAGGCAGCAGUGGGGAAUAUUGCACAAUGGGCGCAAGCCUGAUGCAGCCAUGCCGCGUGUGUGAAGAAGGCCUUCGGGUUGUAAAGCACUUUCAGCGGGGAGGAAGGCGGUGAGGUUAAUAACCUCAUCGAUUGACGUUACCCGCAGAAGAAGCACCGGCUAACUCCGUGCCAGCAGACGCGGUAUG
rnacentral:rRNA from 1 species